GGAUGCGAUCAUACCAGCACUAAAGCACCGGAUCCAAUCAGAACUCCGAAGUUAAGCGUGCUUGGGCGAGAGUAGUACUGGGAUGGGUGACCUCCUGGGAAGUCCUCGUGUUGCAUCCCUCC
rnacentral:rRNA from 1 species